rnacentral:rRNA from 1 species
CAGUCGCCACGGGAAUACGUAGGGUGCAAGCGUUAAUCGGAAUUACUGGGCGUAAAGCGUGCGCAGGCGGUUCGUUAAGACAGAUGUGAAAUCCCCGGGCUUAACCUGGGAACUGCAUUUGUGACUGGCGGGCUAGAGUAUGGCAGAGGGGGGUAGAAUUCCACGUGUAGCAGUGAAAUGCGUAGAGAUGUGGAGGAAUACCGAUGGCGAAGGCAACCCCCUGGGCCAAUACUGACGCUCAUGCACGAAAGCGUGGGGAGCAAACAGGAUUAGAUACCCCGGUAGUCCCUGUCUCUUAUAC